rnacentral:rRNA from 1 species
AUGCAAUUGAAACAAGUUCUUGCUAAUGGAAAAAAGGGAGGGUUGAAUGUAGGUGUUGUUCUUAUUUUGCCCGAGGGAUUCGAAUUAGCGCCGCCCGAUCGUAUUUCCCCUGAGUUAAAAGAAAAGAUAGGAAAUCUUGCUUUUCAGAGUUAUCGUCCUGAUAAAAAAAACAUUCUUGUGAUAGGCCCUGUUCCCGGUAAGAAAUAUAGUGAAAUUGUCUUUCCCAUUCUUUCCCCUGAUCCUGCUAUGAAGAAAGAUGCUCAUUUCUUAAAAUAUCCCAUAUACGUAGGGGGAAACCGAGGAAGAGGACAAGAGUAA